rnacentral:rRNA from 1 species
UAUAAGACUGGGAUAACUUCGGGAAACCGGGGCUAAUGCCGGAUAACAUUUAGAACCGCAUGGUUCUAAAGUGAAAGAUGGUUUUGCUAUCACUUAUAGAUGGACCCGCGCCGUAUUAGCUAGUUGGUAAGGUAAUGGCUUACCAAGGCAACGAUACGUAGCCGACCUGAGAGGGUGAUCGGCCACACUGGAACUGAGACACGGUCCAGACUCCUACGGGAGGCAGCAGUAGGGAAUCUUCCGCAAUGGGCGAAAGCCUGACGGAGCAACGCCGCGUGAGUGAUGAAGGGUUUCGGCUCGUAAAACUCUGUUAUUAGGGAAGAACAAACGUGUAAGUAACUGUGCACGUCUUGACGGUACCUAAUCAGAAAGCCACGGCUAACUACGUGCCAGCAGCCGCGGUAAUACGUAGGUGGCAAGCGUUAUCCGGAAUUAUUGGGCGUAAAGCGCGCGUAGGCGGUUUCUUAAGUCUGAUGUGAAAGCCCACGGCUCAACCGUGGAGGGUCAUUGGAAACUGGGAGACUUGAGUGCAGAAGAGGAAAGUGGAAUUCCAUGUGUAGCGGUGAAAUGCGCAGAGAUAUGGAGGAACACCAGUGGCGAAGGCGACUUUCUGGUCUGUAACUGACGCUGAUGUGCGAAAGCGUGGGGAUCAAACAGGAUUAGAUACCCUGGUAGUCCACGCCGUAAACGAUGAGUGCUAAGUGUUAGGGGGUUUCCGCCCCUUAGUGCUGCAGCUAACGCAUUAAGCACUCCGCCUGGGGAGUACGACCGCAAGGUUGAAACUCAAG